rnacentral:sRNA from 1 species
GGUGGUCGGAGGUAGUGGAAUCUUUCGAUUUGCUAGAGGUUAUGUCGAGGCUCGCACCAAGUCGUUUGAUCUCAAGGCCGGUGUUGCCAAUCUACAUAUACAUUUUUGCAGCCAUUUUAACAAAUAAAUCUUAGAGUUGAACUUAUUUACAACCCAAUGCCAUUAGCAUUAAAUUUUUUUUUCAAAAUAAU